AUGAACUUGUAGUGCUUGGCUGUGUCACUACUCCAGCAUCAUCUCUGAUCUCUUCUCUGUCAAUGCUAUUUAAAGAGAAAAUGUAACAGUAACCUUCUGGUGAUGCUGGAGAAAAUAGAUUUCACUAAUUCUCGACUUCAGUGCAAGCUCUUCAAUCCCAUGAACUUCAGUUACUUCUAUUGUGUCAGGUUAUAAAAUGGAGCUUUUUUUUUUUAGUAUUUUUGAAUUGUGUGGAGAGGAAAAGAAACCACAAAGAAAACCACCAACCCCAAAUGAACACACAGAAGCCUGGUUUUCAGAAGCAUUGACUUUUUCAGCCUCCAUAGAGUGUGAAGUUGCAUGCAUUUUGGAGGCAGCCUCUUGUGAGGCCUGUGGAAUGGGUGUUACAGCUGCAGCAUCCUGUGUAGCAUCCCCUCUGCUUGUCACUUGA
rnacentral:lncRNA from 1 species